AACGAACGCUGGCGGCAUGCCUAACACAUGCAAGUCGAACGAGACCUUCGGGUCUAGUGGCGCACGGGUGCGUAACGCGUGGGAACCUGCCCUUAGGUUCGGAAUAACUCCCCGAAAGGGGUGCUAAUACCGGAUAGUGUCUUCGGACCAAAGAUUUAUCGCCUUUGGAUGGGCCCGCGUUGGAUUAGCUAGUUGGUAGGGUAAAAGCCUACCAAGACGACGAUCCAUAGCUGGUCUGAGAGGAUGAUCAGCCACACUGGGACUGAGACACGGCCCAGACUCCUACGGGAGGCAGCAGUGGGGAAUAUUGGACAAUGGGCGAAAGCCUGAUCCAGCAAUGCCGCGUGAGUGAUGAAGGCCUUAGGGUUGUAAAGCUCUUUUACCCGGGAUGAUAAUGACAGUACCGGGAGAAUAAGCUCCGGCUAACUCCGUG
rnacentral:rRNA from 1 species